rnacentral:rRNA from 1 species
UGAGUACAAGAUGCUACGGCAUUGAAGCAGUCUAUGUCAUACUUCCAAGAAAAGCUUGCAAUGUCAUAAACAAAUAAUGCCUGUACCAUAACCGACACAGGUGGGUAGGUAGAGUAUACUAAGGGGCGCGAGAUAACUCUCUCUAAGGAACUCGGCAAAAUGACUCCGUAACUUCGGGAGAAGGAGUACCUUAUUUUAUAAGGUUGCAAUAACAAGGUCCAAGCAACUGUUUACCAAAAACACAGGUCUCCGCUAAGUCGUAAGACGAUGUAUGGGGGCUGACACCUGCCCAGUGCCAGAAGGUUAAAGAAGUUGGUUAGCAUUAGCGAAGCUGAUAACUGAAGCCCUGGUGAACGGCGGCCGUAACUAUAACGGUCCUAAGGUAGCGAAAUUCCUUGUCGGGUAAGUUCCGACCCGCACGAAAGGCGUAAUGAUUUGGAUACUGUCUCGGAGAGGGGCUCGGUGAAAUAGACUUGUCUGUGAAGAUGCGGACUACCUGCACCUGGACAGAAAGACCCUAUGAAGCUUUACUGUAACUUGAGAUUGAAAUUGGACUUUAUUUGCGCAGUAUAGGUGGGAGACCUCGAAAGUAUUCUUGCGGGAAUAUUGGAGUCAUCAGUGAGAUACCACUCUUAUAAUGUUAGAUUUCUAACUUUGUAUCAUUAUCUGGUCAAAGAACAGUUUCAGGCGGGCAGUUUGACUGGGGCGGUCGCCUCCCAAAUGGUAACGGAGGCGCACAAAGGUUUCCUCUGAACGUGUAGAAAUCGUAUCUAGAGUGUAAAGGCAUAAGGAAGCUUGACUGUGAGACCUACAAGUCGAGCAGGGACGAAAGUCGGUCUUAGUGAUCUGACGGUGCUGAGUGGAAAGGCCGUCACUCAACGGAUAAAAGUUACUCUAGGAUAACAGGCUGAUCUCCCCCAAGAGUUCACAUCGACGGGGAGGUUUGGCACCUCGAUGUCGGCUCAUCGCAUCCUGGGGCGGUAGUACGUCCCAAGGGUUGGGCUGUUCGCCCAUGAAAGCGGUACGCGAGCUGGGUUCAGAACGUCGUGAGACAGUUCGGUCCAUAUCCGGUGUAGGCGUUAGAAUAUUGAGAGGAGCCUUCUUUAGUACGAGAGGACCGAGAAGGACAUACCUCUGGUGUACCAGUUAUCGUGCCAACGGUAAACGCUGGGUAGCUAUGUAUGGAGAGGAUAACCGCUGAAAGCAUCUAAGUGGGAAGCCCACCUCAAGAUAAG